GACGAACGCUGGCGGCGUGCUUAGCACAUGCAAGUCGAGCGGUAAGGCCCUUUCGGGGGUACACGAGCGGCGAACGGGUGAGUAACACGUGGGUGACCUGCCCUCAGCUCUGGGAUAAGCCUGGGAAACCGGGUCUAAUACUGGAUAUGACUCCAUGACGCAUGUUGUGGGGUGGAAAGCCUUGUGCGGCUGAGGAUGGGCCCGCGGCCUAUCAGC
rnacentral:rRNA from 1 species